CUUUCUUUUUUCUUCUCUGGUCAGAACUGCUCCUCUUCCAUUCUCCACCGAUAAUUCUCUCAAAACUCUUCUCGUUAGAACCAAGAAGAAGAGGUGAAUAAAGUAAAAUGAUGAAGAGAAAGCUCAAUUAUGCACUUCCGUAGAUGCUAUCAUGAGUUGAGAGUUUCAACGAAAUGUAAAGGAGAUUCUAUUAUAUUGGUUGUGUUGUUUCUUCUAAGGUUAAUUGAAGUGGACCGUGAUGAAGCUUGAAGCAUUGGUGAUGGUAAUUCUGCUAGAAGCUUUAAGAUUUAUUUACGCCACUCAAAAUGGGUUCGAAUCGAACAGCAAGAGGUAACAUGUUUAGAUUUGAUUGUUUAAUCUAAGAUAUAUAAUUUUGUCAACAUACACAGUGAAAGCAGAUUUUUCCUUUCUUUCAAGCACAUUCAUAAAUAGCUAAAUGUGAAAAAUCUUCUUCAUGUAGUUCAUUUUUUUCUUUUCUUUCACAUUUUCUGAAUUCGUUGUCUCACGCUUUGCCAGUCAAUUUCUUGAUAUUCAAGGCAUACAUGGCAUAGAAGAUUAUUAACCAUGUGGCUGAAAUUGUUGGAGACAAAUAAAAUGCCUAAAUGGCAAUUUGUUUGGAUAGAGUAUGCAAUCAUAGUGGUUUGUUUUAAUAAGUUCUCAUUUGAUGGGAUUAUCAUGGGAUGUAGGAUAAUGCUCGACUGCCAUCAGCAGAUUCUGAUAAUAAUUUUGCUUUGAUGAAAAUCUAAAUUCUUUUCCCUUUCC